CUGGCGGCGUGCCUAAUACAUGCAAGUCAACGGCUUUUCAUGGAAGCUUGCUUCACUGAGAAGAUAGUGGCGAACGGGUAGAGUAACACGUGGGGUAACCUGCCCAUAAGAGGGGGAUAACAUCCGGAAACGGGUGCUAAUACCGCAUAGUUUUCUUGAUCGCAUGAUUGAGAAAGGAAAGACGGCCUUUGUGCUGUCGCUUAUGGAUGGACCCGCGGCGUAUUAGUUAGUUGGUGAGGUAACGGCUCACCAAGACGAUGAUACGUAGCCGACCUGAGAGGGUGAUCGGCCACAUUGGGACUGAGACACGGCCCAAACUCCUACGGGAGGCAGCAGUAGGGAAUCUUCCGCAAUGGACGAAAGUCUGACGGAGCAACGCCGCGUGAGUGAAGAAGGUUUUUCCGGAUCGUAAAACUCUGUUGUCAGAGAAGAACAAGUUGGAGAGUAACUGCUCCAGCCUUGACGGUAUCUGACCAGAAAGCCACGGCUAACUACGUGCCAGCAGCAGC
rnacentral:rRNA from 1 species